GAUGAAGAACGCAGCGAAAUGCGAUAAGUAGUGUGAAUUGCAGAAUUCAGUGAAUCAUCGAAUCUUUGAACGCACAUUGCGCCCCUUGGUAUUCCAUGGGGCAUGCCUGUUCGAGCGUCAUUUGUACCCUCAAGCUCUGCUUGGUGUUGGGUGUUUGUCCACUCCUUGGUGGUUGGACUCGCCUUAAAACAAUUGGCAGCCAGUGUUUUGGUAUUGAAGCGCAGCACAUUUUGCGGUUCUGGCCCAAUACUGGCAUCCAGUAAGCUAUUUUCCACUUUUGACCUCGGAUCAGGUAGGGAUACCCGCUGAACUUAAGCAUAUCAAUAAGCGGAGGA
rnacentral:misc_RNA from 1 species